rnacentral:rRNA from 1 species
AUUGAACGCUGGCGGCAUGCUUUACACAUGCAAGUCGAACGGUAACAGGGUGCUUGCACCGCUGACGAGUGGCGAACGGGUGAGUAAUGCAUCGGAACGUACCCAGUCGUGGGGGGAUAACGUAGCGAAAGUUACGCUAGUACCGCAUACGUCCUGAGGGAGAAAGCGGGGGACCGUAAGGCCUCGCGCGAUUGGAGCGGCCGAUGUCGGAUUAGCUAGUUGGUAGGGUAAAGGCCUACCAAGGCGACGAUCCGUAGCGGGUCUGAGAGGAUGAUCCGCCACACUGGGACUGAGACACGGCCCAGACUCCUACGGGAGGCAGCAGUGGGGAAUUUUGGACAAUGGGCGAAAGCCUGAUCCAGCCAUGCCGCGUGAGUGAAGAAGGCC